UUUUUAGUGUGGGCGCGCGCAUGCGCAGAAGGAGCACGUGAAUUAAAAUGGCUGACGUGAAAGAGAAUGGGGAAAGUGAAUCAAAAAAGAGAAGAAGAGGAUUUGAUUCAGGAGUGGAUGAAAGCUAACAGAGCGAUUAAAAAAGGAGGAAGAGAAUCACACAUUGACAGUGAUGGGCACUUUUCUCUCAUUAAUUAAAUCAUUCGUAAUUAAAUUUUAAUUUCUCAUUUAUUGCAAUUCUUCACUUAAUAUUAUUAAAAUUAUUUCACAUCAUCGAUAUGUAAGAAUUGGGAUGUACAUGUGUUAUGAGAAUUUUUAAUUUUUCUUUUUUUUACAUGUUUUUUAUUUUUGUACCUGCACAUUUUGUGGGUGGAGUUUUCUAUUUUUAACCCUUUUGCUUUUAGUGCCGGAGAUGGAGCAGACGGGGGAACUGGUGACACCUGCUACCCUCCCAAAGCUGGACAGCAAUCAGAGACAUGCCCUCAGCUUAGCAAAGAAAUACGCUCAAGAAAUUACAGCAAAACAUCAACAAGCGAAGCAGAGUGAAGUACAAGUUCAGCAGAUGCAGUCAUUGCAGGAGGCAGCCAACCAGCAAAGAGCACUACUACUCAUGAGCCGGAUAUACUAGUAAUAAUGAUUGGUCUACUAGUAUAAUACCUCUGGACCAGUAUCAAGAGAAACUUCAAGAAAGGAGAAGAGAAUGGGAAGCAUCUCAGCCUGUUCAACCUGAGGAUAGAAGAGAAUCUCACUGAACGUUUUCUGCUACUGAAAAACAGCAUCCAGCAAUAUCUGCAUGUAAAAUAAUUAUUUCAAUAGUAUAUUUUAAGUUUUUUUUUCAUUGAGUAAUAAAUUUUAUUUCUGAUGACAAAAAAGUUAACAAUGCCACACCUUCAUAAUGGCAGCCAAAGCACUAGCCUGGCUACGCAAAAGCAAAGCACCAGACUAUCAACCAGUGGAGAGGAAUAGUC